UACGUAGGCAGCGAGCGUUGUUCGGAGUUACUGGGCGUAAAGGGUGUGUAGGCGGUUGUUUAAGUUUGGUGUGAAAUCUCCCGGCUCAACUGGGAGGGUGCGCCGAAUACUGAAUGACUCGAGUGCGGGAGAGGAAAGUGGAAUUCCUGGUGUAGCGGUGAAAUGCGUAGAUAUCAGGAGGAACACCGGUGGUGUAAACGGCUCUCUGGACCGUAACUGACGCUGAGACACGAAAGCGUGGGUAGCAAACAGG
rnacentral:rRNA from 1 species